UUGGAGGGCAAGUCUGGUGCCAGCAGCCGCGGUAAUUCCAGCUCCAAUAGCGUAUAUUAAUGUUGUUGCAGUUAAAAAGCUCGUAGUUGAAUUUCGGGACCAAUAUGUCGGUCGUGCCUCGGUACGUACUGGUGUCAUUGGUUUCUCCCUUCUGAGGAUCCUUGAUGUCAUUAAUUUGGUGUCUUGGGGAAUCAGGACUGUUACCUUGAAAAAAUUAGAGUGUUUAAAGCAGGCAUACGCUUGAAUACAUUAGCAUGGAAUAAUGAAAUAGGACGUUCGAUUCUAUUUUGUUGGUUUCUAGGAUCGACGUAACGAUUAAUAGGGAUAGUUGGGGGCAUUAGUAUUCAAUUGUCAGAGGUGAAAUUCUUGGAUUUAUUGAAGACUAACUACUGCGAAAGCAUUUGCCAAGGAUGUUUUCAUUAAUCAAGAACGAAAGAUAGGGGAUCGAAGACGAUCAGAUACCGUCGUAGUCUUAACCAUAAACUAUGCCGACUUGGGAUCGGAUGAUGUUAAUUUUUUAAUGACUCAUUCGGCGCCUUACGGGAAAC
rnacentral:rRNA from 1 species